AAAUACUGAACCAUUCUUCUAGGAGAAAUACAGGUUAGGUUCCUGUGAGCUGGUCACAAAUUUUCUUUGUCUCACAUAUAAAAUAACAAUUUCCUCAUCUAUUCUCUCAACUAUUGUAAUAUUGAUUUGUUAACCUUGAACUUACAGCCAGUAGCACUACAUAACCCAAGAUUAAACAAAGCUUAUCUAAUGUAGUUUCUCUGUAAAGUACAUCAUAGCCUUCUUAUACCUGGGAACACGACAUAACUUUUUUUUUUUUUUAAAUUUAAAUUUUAUUUUAUUGAUUAAUAACUUUGUAUUGACAGAAUCCAUGCCAGGAUAAUUUUUUUACAACAUUAUCCCUUGCAAUCACUUAUGUUUCGUUUUUUUCCCCUCCUUCCCUCUACCCCCCUCCCCCCAAUAUGGCAAGCAGUCCUAUAUAUGUUAAAUAUGUUGUAGUAUAUCCUAGAUACAAUACAUAUUUGCAGAACCGAACAGUUCUCCUGUUGCACAGGGAGAAUUGGAUUCAGAAGGUAAAAAUAACUCAGGAAGAAAAUCAAAAAUGCAAAUAGUUCACAUUCAUUUCCCAGUGUUCCUUCUUUGGGUGUAGCUGUUUCUGUCCAUCAUUUAUCCAUUGAAACUCAGUUAGGUCUCUUUGUCAUAGAAAUCCACUUCCAUCAGAAUACAUCCUCAUACAAUAUCGUUGUCAAAGUGUAUAAUGAUCUCCUGGUUCUGCUCAUCUCACUUAGCAUCAGUCCAUGUAGGUCUCUCCAAGCCUCUCUGUAUUCAUCCUGCUGGUCAUUCCUUACAGAGCAAUAAUAUUCCAUAACAUUCAUAUACCACAAUUUACCCAGCCAUUCUCCAAUUGAUGGGCAUCCAUUCAUUUUCCAGUUUCUAGCCACUACAAACAGGGCUGCUACAAACAUUU